rnacentral:rRNA from 1 species
ACGAACGCUGGCGGCGUGCUUAACACAUGCAAGUCGAACGGAAAGGCCCUGCUUUUGUGGGGUGCUCGAGUGGCGAACGGGUGAGUAACACGUGAGUAACCUGCCCUUGACUUUGGGAUAACUUCAGGAAACUGGGGCUAAUACCGGAUAGGAGCUCCUGCUGCAUGGUGGGGGUUGGAAAGUUUCGGCGGUUGGGGAUGGACUCGCGGCUUAUCAGCUUGUUGGUGGGGUAGUGGCUUACAAAGGCUUUGACGGGUAGCCGGCCUGAGAGGGUGACCGGCCACAUUGGGACUGAGAUACGGCCCAGACUCCUACGGGAGGCAGCAGUGGGGAAUAUUGCACAAUGGGCGGAAGCCUGAUGCAGAAACGCCGAGUGCGGGAUGACGGCCUUCGGGUUGUAAACCGCUUUCGCCUGUGACGAAGCGUGAGUGACGGUAAUGGGUAAAGAAGCACCGGCUAACUACGUG